GCACUCCUGGGGCGUCUCUAUCUCAUUGCGAGAGGAGGCGCACCUAGAGCGUACACGCUGAUACCCGAAAGAUGGUGAACUAUGCCUGGCCAGGACGAAGCCAGGGGAAACCCUGGUGGAGGUCCGCAGCGAUUCUGACGUGCAAAUCGAUCGUCGGAGCUGGGUUUAGGGGCGAAAGACCAAUCGAACCAUCUAGUAGCUGGUUCCCUCUGAAGUUUCCCUCAGGAUAGCUUGCGCUCGGACGAUACGAGUCUCAUCCGGUAGAGCGAAUGAUUAGAGGCCUUGGGGUCGAAACGACCUCAACCUAUUCUCAAACUCCAAAUAGAUGAGAACCCCGGCUUUCUUGAACCAUGUUUAUGAAGCCGGGGGCUUGGAUCAGAGUGCCAAGUGGGCCAAUUUUGGUAAGCAGAACUGGCGCUGUGGGAUGAACCAAACGCGGAGUUAAGGCGCCUCAAUCGACGCUCAUGUGAAACCAUGAAAGGCGUUGGUUGCUUAAGACAGCAG
rnacentral:rRNA from 1 species